GAUGAACGCCGGCGGCGUGCCUAAUACAUGCAAGUCGAGCGAACGGACGAGAAGCUUGCUUCUCUGAUGUUAGCGGCGGACGGGUGAGUAACACGUGGAUAACCUACCUAUAAGACUGGGAUAACUUCGGGAAACCGGAGCUAAUACCGGAUAAUAUUUUGAACCGCAUGGUUCAAAAGUGAAAGACGGUCUUGCUGUCACUUAUAGAUGGAUCCGCGCUGCAUUAGCUAGUUGGUAAGGUAACGGCUUACCAAGGCAACGAUGUAUAGCCGACCUGAGAGGGUGAUCGGCCACACUGGAACUGAGACACGGUCCAGACUCCUACGGGAGGCAGCAGUAGGGAAUCUUCCGCAAUGGGCGAAAGCCUGACGGAGCAACGCCGCGUGAGUGAUGAAGGUCUUCGGAUCGUAAAACUCUGUUAUUAGGGAAGAACAUAUGUGUAAGUAACUGUGCACAUCUUGACGGUACCUAAUCAGAAAGCCACGGCUAACUACGUG
rnacentral:rRNA from 1 species